AGUGAACGCUGGCGGUAGGCCUAACACAUGCAAGUCGAACGGCAGCACAGUAAGAGCUUGCUCUUACGGGUGGCGAGUGGCGGACGGGUGAGGAAUACAUCGGAAUCUACUUUUUCGUGGGGGAUAACGUAGGGAAACUUACGCUAAUACCGCAUACGACCUGCGGGUGAAAGCAGGGGAUCUUCGGACCUUGCGCGAUUGAAUGAGCCGAUGUCGGAUUAGCUAGUUGGCGGGGUAAAGGCCCACCAAGGCGACGAUCCGUAGCUGGUCUGAGAGGAUGAUCAGCCACACUGGAACUGAGACACGGUCCAGACUCCUACGGGAGGCAGCAGUGGGGAAUAUUGGACAAAGGGCGCAAGCCUGAUCCAGCCAUACCGCGUGGGUGAAGAAGGCCUUCGGGUUGUAAAGCCCUUUUGGUGGGAAAGAAAAGCAGCAGGUUAAUACCCCGCUGUUCUGACGGUACCCAAAGAAUAAGCACCGGCUAACUUCGUG
rnacentral:rRNA from 1 species